rnacentral:ncRNA from 1 species
GCUAGGCCGUAUUCAAAAAUCUACCUUCAUUCCAAAAUUGGUUCUUAUCCGUCCUCCAGCUCGUCUUUUUGCCUAGUGCUCCCUUCUCUGAUUGUUUUCAUUACGACUCUUCGUGCAUUUGAGCGCCCAUUUUUGGUAAGCAGAACUGGCGAUGUGGGAUGAACCAAAAGUUGAGUUAUGGUGCCAAAUUGUGCGGUAACCCAAAUCCCACAAAGGUUGUUGGUUAAUUAAGAAAGUUGGACGGUGGUCAUGGAAGUCGAAAUCUGCUAAGGAGUGUGUAACAACUCACCUGUUGAAUCAACUAUCCCAAAAUAUGGAUGGCACUGAGGCGUGCAACCUAUACUCAAUCAUAGGAGAAAUUGUAAGGCUUCGAUGAGUAGGAGGACACGGGGGUCGUUGAGAAACAUUGGGCGUGAGCCUGGGUGGACCAGUCCCCGGUGUAGAUCUUGGUGGUAGUAGAAAAUAUUCAAAUAAGAACUUUGAAGAGUGAAGUGGGGAAAGGUUCCAUGUGAACAACACUUGGACAUGCUUUAGUUGAUCCUAAGAUAUGGGGAAGCCCUGUAUCAAGGGUGCACUCAUCAUGAACAUUGAAAGGGAAUCAGGUAAAUAUUAUCGAACCGGGACAUGGUGGCAGACGACAACAUUAGGAAAUACAGAGAUGUUUUUGGAGGCCUCAUGAAGAGUUAUAUUUUAUUUUGCGUUGCGUUCGGGCCCCCAUCUUGCCAACUUUCCUUUCGUUGUGUUUGGGAAACCAUCUUUCCAACUUGCCUUGCCUUGUGUUUGGGUACCCAUCUUGUUACUUCUCUUCGUUCAUUUGGGUGCCCAUCUUGCCAAAUUGCCUUGUGUUGCAUUUGGGCACCCCUCUUUCCAAGUC